UAUGAUAGACCUCCCGCAGACUUGAAAGAAGAGGGGGUGAGGAAGAAGUUUUCCGCUUGAUAAGAUAAGCCGGGGAAGGUUUUCCGGUUUAUCCCGGAGGGCUUGUAGCUCAGUUGGUUAGAGCGCGCGCUUGAUAAGCGUGAGGUCGGAGGUUCAAGUCCUCCCAGGCCCACCAGUUUAUGUAUCAAUUUAUAAGCGCUUACGAAUUUUCUUAUACGAAACUCGCUUAUGAAUUUGCAAGAAACUUGCUUGACUAAAGAAGCUUUCUUAUAAAAAUGUGGCGCUUCUCUAUUUUGCUUAAGUGAUCCAAAGUUAAAGCGAUUUAAACGCAAAGCGAUCCCAAUUUAAAGGUGAUCCUAAAUGUCAAAGCUUUGAAUCCUUUCUCGUGUUUUUGGGGCCGUAGCUCAGCUGGGAGAGCACCUGCUUUGCAAGCAGGGGGCGU
rnacentral:misc_RNA from 1 species